rnacentral:rRNA from 1 species
AAGCGUGCGCAGGCGGUUAUGUAAGACAGAUGUGAAAUCCCCGGGCUCAACCUGGGAAACUGCAUUUGUGACUGCAUGGCUAGAGUACGGUAGAGGGGGAUGGAAUUCCGCGUGUAGCAGUGAAAUGCGUAGAUAUGCGGAGGAACACCGAUGGCGAAGGCAAUCCCCUGGACCUGUACUGACGCUCAUGCACGAAAGCGUGGGGAGCAAACAGGAUUAGAUACCCCGGU